rnacentral:lncRNA from 1 species
GGAACACUUUGAAUAAAAGAUCUCCGCCGAAUUCUACAUGAUUGGAAAGCAAUGCAGAAGCAUCAGGAGCCUGGCUGUUUAGUACUCAGUGGGGACCUGGGACCAUGUGCAUUCAGGAGAAGCAGACAUGAUGUGUGUCUUAAAAAGCAUCUAUUCCUUCCCAGAAUAUCAUUGCUCUUUCUUGAAGACACACAAGACCACCUAUUGUGAAGACAAGAAUGCUUCUUUAACAGCAUUUGUGCUACUGACUUACACACCCAAUACAUUCCUGCAUAAGUGAAAUGCUUCCAUAGAAGUGAUCACAGGAGGUUCCUAUUCCAGAGCCAGGCAUGGCAGUGCGUGCCUGUAAUCCCAUUCGGGAUUACACUCGGAGGCUGAGGCAG